rnacentral:rRNA from 1 species
UACGGAGGGUGCAAGCGUUGCUCGGAAUCACUGGGCGUAAAGCGACCGCAGGCGGCCUGACAAGUCGGAUGUGAAAGCCCUGGGCUCAACUCAGGAAUUGCAUUCGAAACUGGCAGGCUUGAGGACGGUAGAGGCGUGUGGAAUUCCGGGUGUAGUGGUGAAAUGCGUAGAGAUCCGGAGGAACACCAGUGGCGAAGGCGACACGCUGGGCCGUACCUGACACUGAUGCGCGACAGCAUGGGGAGCAAACAGG